CAGUCGCCACGGUAAUACGAGGGGGGCAAGCGUUGUUCGGAAUUAUUGGGCGUAAAGGGUGCGUAGGCGGUUUGAUAAGUCAUCUGUGAAAUCUCUGGGCUCAACCCAGAGUCUGCAGGCGAAACUGUCGGGCUUGAGUAUGGGAGAGGUGAGUGGAAUUUCCGGUGUAGCAGUGAAAUGCGUAGAGAUCGGAAGGAACAUCUGUGGCGAAGGCGACUAUCUGAGCCAACACUGACACUGAGGCACGAAAGCGUGGGGAGCAAACAGGAUUAGAUACCCGCGUAGUCCCUGUCUCUAUACA
rnacentral:rRNA from 1 species